rnacentral:lncRNA from 1 species
CAGAACCUCCACAGUGGCACUGGGCCUCCUUCCUGCCCAUGAGGCAGGCGGUGGGCCACGAGCCCCAUUGGCUGGGCUCUCUUCAAAGGACAGCAGUCCUGGAGUCUGCCUGGGGGCUCCUGCUCACCCGUCCCCAUCAGGAUGGAUGACAAUUCGUGUGGCCCAAGUCCUCCGUCUUACCAACUACAAGGCUCCAGUUUCCUCACUUGUGAAAACUGUCAGAAACAUCUGCGUGUGGAAAUUACGGAAAUCCCAAUGAAGACACCUCAUGGUGCUCGGUGAGCGUGAGCUUCCAUUUGUAGAGGCGGUUGCCAUUUCCGCCCCUGCACAGCUGGAAGUCCAUGGUCACCGUCCCCGGGGACACUGCAGGGACACGUCCUGACGCUCCGACCGCACACGGCUGCGUCCGGGAUGUUAAACAGAAGGCCAGGCCAUGCGGGUGCCAAGGUGGACCUCGACCUUUCCCACCCACUGCCACCAGCCCCUGAGGUGCCCCAGACUCACGAAGGCUGGGAGCACGGGGCUGUCCUGCUUCCAGAAAAGCCACCGGCAUUGGCUGAGGGUCCAGUGAAGUUACCAUGCCAUGGAACGGUCCCGAGCAGCCCUAAGAAUCGCAGCAGAGGUUGCCGAGCAUGUGCGCACCCCUGGAGAGGGUCUUCGAUGCCGCCAAGGUGACCCCACAGAUCUCUGUGGAUCCCUGGCUUGUGGUGAAUUUGCCCAGUGCAUGAAGAAUGAGGAGACUGAGGAUGCUGAAUGUCGCUGCAGGCCCAGGUUCCAACACCCAGGUAGUGUGCAGGGCCGGGACUCAAGCCUCUGUGCCCCUGGAGAGGGGUGCGGGGCUGUCCAGGGAAAAAGAGCUCCAUGCAGGUAGGUCAAGGCACUGAUGUCACUAUGUGCCACUUCCGAGAACCCUAGCAUGACAACAAAUCCCUGUAAUCAGGAUUGCAGCUGCCCUGAGCACCACUGCCGGCUGCAGGGGAGAUGUGAAGAUCUGAGCCUCUCUGCAGGGCGGUGGGGGUGGGGGGCAGCGUGCAGGAGAGGCAGCACCCGGCCCAGCUGCCAUAUGGAGCACUGAUCCAGACUCAGUGCAGGACUUCCCCAUGUGACACUGCAGGCAGAAUGUGUGGCUCACGACCCUCCAUUGGUGCACGUGUGCUACAAUGCAGGGAGUUUUUCCUCUGCAAGCACGACAGUUUUCAUCAUAAGAAAGCUAAAAAACAUACAGAAAACUGAAAGAAGACAAAUGUCCUGCUAUCUUUUGAUGUCCAUAUUUAUAUCAUUGGAAUCAGACUGACUUCUGUUUUGUAAUCAGCUUUUUUAACCUAGAAUGUUUCCUCUGGUUAUUCAAUAUUUUCUAUUUUAAUCCUUAUAGUAUUAUAGUAGUUUUUUUUUUUCUUUUUCUUUUCCAGUCCUGUUAUUGAACCCAGGGCCUUCACACUAAGCUACACCCCAACCCUUUUCAUUUUUUUUUUUCUUUUCCUUUCUAAUUUCUUUGAGACAGGAUGUAAGGCUCCCAGAAUGCUGGGAUUACAGGCAGGGGUUACCAAACCUGGCUUAGGAGUCAGCUCUCUAGAAGUCUUUUGAUGUGUUUAGUCAGACGUUCAUUCGCAGACAGAAGGGGUAACAGAAGCUUUCUGGAAGGAGGAGAAGAGAAAGAGGUGGAACGUAAGCACCUUUCUAUGCACAAACCAGACCUCAGAGAGUAGCAGGUGGCCUUAGGACAAGCAGGCAACACAGUAACACCACUUCUCAUGUCCCAUGAGGGAAACAAGGGCUGCACGUGGACCAGCUCUGCCCUCAGAGGGCUGCUCCAGCGAGAACGCCACCCACCUUUCCCAUUGGCCACCUCCCGCCAGCAUCUGGGUGCUGCUCGGGGCUCAGACUGGCCUGCUCCGCUUCCCUCCUGCUCACUCCACAGGCUCUAAUUUCCUACCCCACGAACUCAAACCAAGUCACAAAAACUAAAGUGAUUUAGCCUCUUCUUGACUAACCACAUCCUGUUCAUCUGAAGUCUUCCAACUUUAAAAACAAGCACCUGACCAUGGUUAGGAAGCAAUAUUCUGAAGACAGAAUGUCAGCCUAGCAAUUUAAUAGCCAACUGCCCUCGGACAAGUUAACUUCUCUAAAUCACAAUUUCCUCAUUUUGUAGCUGAGAUUAAUAACCCCCAUCUGCUGGAUUACCCCAACAGGUAUAUGAAGUACAGUGAUGCGGAAUUUCUCUUUAAGACAGCAAAACAUAUAUAAAGUAGUACUUAGAACUAAGACACUGAAAGAGGCACAGAGGCUAAGACACGGAGCCAG